ACCUGGGUGGCUCAGUCGAUUAAGCACCUGACUUUGGCUCAGGUCAUGGUCUCCCGGUUUGUGGGUUCGACCCCUGCCUUGGGCU
rnacentral:tRNA from 1 species